rnacentral:lncRNA from 1 species
UGAGCUACUGUACCCGGCCACUGUUGCUGUUUUGAAAGGGAGCCCUCCUCUCCCCUACCACAUUCUAUAUUAAGAAAUUCCAAAUUAAAUGAAGAGAUAAAAAAUUCAAGGUUAAUAAGUUAGUAACUGUUCAUGUAAUGAUAAUGAAAAUAAGAGUCAAUGUUGUAAGAGGUGUAUUAAACCGUAUAAAUUGUCCUGGCUGAAGUGUGGGGGGCGAGGGUACCCCAUUGACUGAUGUAUAUGUAAAAUAAAGUCAAAACUCUUGUUAAUGUCUCAAAGACAACUACGAACAGAGUUAGGGUUCAUUGGCUCACUGCCUCAAGGGAGCCAGCAUGCUAUGGGAAGCACGUCUCCCUGAGAAAGCACUAGAAGGACUGGUUGUAGGAUUCGGGUUUGUGUUAGGUGAAGAGUUAUUUGGGACCUGUAUUCAUUGGCUAGGGCCACCAUAAGAAAUUACCCCAAACUGAGGGGCUUAAACAACAAAAAUUUCUUUUUUCACAGCUCUGGAGGCUGAAGUCUGAGCUCAAGGUGUUGACAGGGUGGCCUCCUUCUGAGGGCCAUGAAGUAAGAGUGUGUUCCAGGCCUCUCUCCUUGGCUUGCAGGUGGCCAUCUUCUCCUUGCCUCUCCACAUUGUCUUCCCUCAUACGUGCCUGUGUCCAGGUUUCCUUUUC